rnacentral:rRNA from 1 species
UACGGAGGGGGCUAGCGUUGUUCGGAAUUACUGGGCGUAAAGGGCUCGUAGGUGGCCAACUAAGUCAGACGUGAAAUCCCUCGGCUUAACCGGGGAACUGCGUCUGAUACUGGAUGGCUUGAGUUCGGGAGAGGUGAGUGGAACUGCGAGUGUAGAGGUGAAAUUCGUAGAUAUUCGCAAGAACACCAGUGGCGAAGGCGGCUCACUGGCCCGAUACUGACGCUGAGGCACGAAAGCGUGGGGAGCAAACAGG